CCUACGGGUGGCAGCAGUGGGGAAUAUUGCACAAUGGGGGGAACCCUGAUGCAGCGACGCCGCGUGAGUGAAGACGUAUUUCGGUAUGUAAAGCUCUAUCAGCAGGGAAGAAAAUGACGGUACCUGACUAAGAAGCCACGGCUAACUACGUGCCAGCAGCCGCGGUAAUACGUAGGGGGCCAGCGUUAUCCGGAUUUACUGGGUGUAAAGGGAGCGCAGACGGCUUUGCAAGUCUGGAGUGAAAGGCGGGGGGCCAACCCCCGGACUGCUCUGGAAACUGUAAAGCUGGAGUGCAGGAGAGGUAAGCGGAAUUCCUGGUGUAGCGGUGAAAUGCGUAGAUAUUAGGAAGAACGCCAGUGGCGAAGGCGGCUUACUGGACUGCAACUGACGUUGAGGCUCGAAAGCGUGGGGAGCAAACAGGAUUAGAUACCCUUGUAGUC
rnacentral:rRNA from 1 species